ensembl:miRNA
UGGAGAGAAAGGCAGUUCCUGAUGGUCCCCUCCCCAGGGGCUGGCUUUCCUCUGGUC